rnacentral:lncRNA from 1 species
CAUGGCGCAGGUGCAGAGCAAGGUGGUGCGGCAGAGGCAUAUUGCAGGCCUGGCCGUCGGCUCAGAGCAGGAGGAGGUCACAGAGCAGCCCUUGCUGCCUGUGGUAAGCAACUGAGGAGGUCACAGAGCAGCCCUUGCUGCCCGUGGUAAGCAACUGAGGAGGUCACAGAGCAGCCCUUGCUGCCUGUGGUAAGCAACUGAGGAGGUCACAGAGCAGCCCUUGCUGCCCGUGGUAAGCGACUGGUGCCAGGUCACCCAGUGGCAGUGGCAGUGCCUGGCUAGUGUCUGGGCCUCCUGAGCUCCACAGAAGCCUGAUGCAGAGAGACCCCUGAUCCUCAACCAACUCCCACUGCCCAGUCUCUGAUUUGCUCAGAAACUUGCAGAGUCAGCAGCUAUCAGCCACCAAGUUGUAAUUAACUCUUCCUGGAGUCAUGAAAAACUGCCGUUUCCUUGUUGGCUUUUAGGUCCAGUGUAAACAGCCCUUCCAGAGCCUUAGUCCAAGUCUUGGAAACCCUAGAGAGAAGCAAUGGGGACCCUCGGGGAGCAGAGGGUUCCUUCGUGAUGAUCCUCCACUGCCUCAGGUUAUCAAACAAAUCCCCAUCCAGGUUAUUUUCAUCUGCCGGCUCCUGUAGCCUGGGUAGUGAGACCCCCAGGUGCACUUCGGGAGAUCUUCCUGCAGGGUCUAGAGGGAGGACCUCUCAUUCAGCAAGAAGUGAGCCCAGGCCCCGCAGCCUCUCCCUGAGAACUUGGCAAGGUCCACAUGGGCUGGGCGGUGGGGAGGCUGGGAUUCUCUCCAAGAUCACCCAGAUUUCUUUGCAUAAUGUUAGGUGGUGAUGGAGUAGGGUCCUGAAAACCAGGGGUGCUGAUGGCUUCAUCCAUACAAUGGGUCAAAUUGUCCCCCGGCACCCCCAGAUCUGUCUACGUCCUCAUCUUCAGAACCUGUGAAUGUGAUUUUCUGUGGAGAAGGAUCUUUGCAGAUGUAAUUACAUUAAGGGUCUUGAGACAAGGAGAUCAUCCUGGAUUAGCCAGGGGAGCAAAAAUCCAAUGAAAUGUAUCCUUGUAGGAAAGCAGAGGGAGAUUUGAGAAUACAGAGAAGAGAAGACACAGGAGUGGGGGCCAUGUGACCAGGGAGGCAGAGCUCGGAGUCGUGUGGGCUCAGAUUCUCCCCUAGAGGCCUGCGGGGAGCAUGGCCUUGCCAGAUUUCCAGCUUCCAGCCUGCAGGAUGCUGAGACAGUAAAUCCUCACCGUUUUAAGCCACCAAGUUUGUGGUGAUCUGUUACAGCAGCUUCAGUAAACACAUACAACCUGCAUAACUGGGUGCCUG